GGAGGAAUAGCUCAGUAGUAGAGCACAUGCUUACCAUGUAUGACGUCUUGGGUUCAAUCCCCCAGUACCUCCA
rnacentral:tRNA from 1 species